rnacentral:rRNA from 1 species
UCUGGUUGAUCCUGCCAGUAGUCAUAUGCUUGUCUCAAAGAUUAAGCCAUGCAUGUCUAAGUACAAACCUUAAUACGGUGAAACCGCGAAUGGCUCAUUAAAUCAGCUAUGGUUCCUUAGAUCGUCUCAUCCUACUCGGAUAACUGUGGAAAAUCUAGAGCUAAUACGUGCUUACAAGCCCUGACCUCACGGGAGGGGCGCAUUUAUUAGAUCAAAACCAAUCGGGGCUUGCCCCGUCUGCUUGGUGACUCUGGAUAACUUUUGUGCUGAUCGCAUGGCCUCUGCGCUGGCGACGUAUCUUUCAAGUGUCUGCCCUAUCAACUUACGAUGGUAGGUGAUAUGCCUACCAUGGUUAUAACGGGUAACGGGGAAUCAGGGUUCGAUUCCGGAGAGGGAGCCUGAGAAACGGCUACCACAUCUAAGGAAGGCAGCAGGCGCGCAAAUUACCCACUCCCGGCACGGGGAGGUAGUGACGAAAAAUAACGAUACGGGACUCUUUUGAGGCCCCGUAAUUGGAAUGAGUACACUUUAAAUCCGUUAACAAGUAUCUAUUGGAGGGCAAGUCUGGUGCCAGCAGCCGCGGUAAUUCCAGCUCCAAUAGCGUAUAUUAAUGUUGCUGCAGUUAAAAAGCUCGUAGUUGGAUCUGAGGACUCGAAUUGGUGGUGCACCAUACGGUGUUACUGCCGAUUCGGCCUACCUAGUCGGUGCUCGCUCUUGGUGUUCUUAAUUGAAUGCCCUGAGUGCCCGGCAAGUUUACUUUGAAAAAAUUAGAGUGCUCAAAGCAGGCCAUUAGCCGGAAUACUUCAGCAUGGAAUAAUGGAAUAGGACUUCGGUUCUAUUUUGUUGGUUUUCGGAACCCGAGGUAAUGAUUAAGAGAGACAGACGGGGGCAUUCGUACUGCGGUGUUAGAGGUGAAAUUCUUGGAUCGCCGCAAGACGAACAACUGCGAAAGCAUUUGCCAAGAAUGUUUUCAUUAAUCAAGAACGAAAGUCAGAGGUUCGAAGACGAUCAGAUACCGUCCUAGUUCUGACCAUAAACGAUGCCAACUGGCGAUCCGAGAUCGUUUGCUUAUUGACCUCUCGGGCAGCCUCCGGGAAACCAAAGUUUUUAGGUUCCGGGGGAAGUAUGGUUGCAAAGCUGGAACUGUUAACGAGGGGAAGUAUGGUUGCAAAGCUGGAAGCCUUCGGGCUGCCGCGAGUCCAGCUUACGUGCUUGAUGCAGGUACCGAUGAGCCUGGCCAAUUCGGUCAGUGGUUGAGGUAGAGAUUGACGAGUCAAAAACCGCGAAAAUUACAAAAAAAAUAUACUAGUACUCGUUCUGGGAGUGCCAAUAAGGCAUGCGCAACCAUACUUACCGGAAAGUCCAGCCCCACCUGCACGUGGUCCCCCCUGCUCACUCUGAAUGAUCGGUCCCAGCGAUCAGGAGUUAUCUAACGGGGCUCUGGCAACCAAGGAGGGUCGGGUUUGCACCCCGGCCUUCUGUACCAGCACAUCCGCACCGGGCAAAAUUAAUGCUACAAAGUCAUCGCCUGAAGAUGACUCCCGGCGGUGCCGGGGAACCGCAACUGGCGCCUCAACGGUUGCGGCCGGUGGCAUUGGGUGUGCUUUUGGGUACUCCGGUCCUCGGAGUCUGAAAUGCUUGCAGUGUGAAGAGUUGGUCAAGACCGAGAAUGAGGGUAGAGAACAUGCAAAGUCAAAACAUCUAUCAGAGUCGGUCACUAUCUGGUGCUGUAAAUGCAACGCCUUCAACCGCGCAAAUCUGAAAGGAGUGGUGUCCCAUUGGGGUAGCUGU